rnacentral:tRNA from 3 species
GGGCGCAUAGCUCAGCUGGGAGAGCACCUGCCUUACAAGCAGGGGGUCACAGGUUCGAGCCCUGUUGCGCCCACUA